rnacentral:rRNA from 1 species
GUGGGGAAUAUUGGACAAUGGGCGAAAGCCUGAUCCAGCCAUGCCGCGUGUGUGAAGAAGGUCUUCGGAUUGUAAAGCACUUUAAGUUGGGAGGAAGGGCAGUAAGUUAAUACCUUGCUGUUUUGACGUUACCGACAGAAUAAGCACCGGCUAACUUCGUGCCAGCAGCCGCGGUAAUACGAAGGGUGCAAGCGUUAAUCGGAAUUACUGGGCGUAAAGCGCGCGUAGGUGGUUCAGCAAGUUGAAGGUGAAAUCCCCGGGCUCAACCUGGGAACUGCCUCAAAAACUACUGAGCUAGAGUACGGUAGAGGGUAGUGGAAUGUCCUGUGUAGCGGUGAAAUGCGUAGAUAUAGGAAGGAACACCAGUGGCGAAGGCGACUACCUGGACUGAUACUGACACUGAGGUGCGAAAGCGUGGGGAGCAAACAGGAUUAGAAACCCUGGUAGUCC